AGUGCAACGCUGGGUCAUAUGGUAACUUGUGCUUAACAUUUUGAGGGAUUGCCAGACUGUUCUCCAAAGUGUCUGCACCAUUUCUCAUUCCCAGCAGCU
rnacentral:pre_miRNA from 1 species